rnacentral:siRNA from 1 species
UAUUGAGUGUCACAUCAUCGU